GAUGAACGCUGGCGGCGUGCCUAAUACAUGCAAGUCGAGCGAACAGACGAGGAGCUUGCUCCUCUGACGUUAGCGGCGGACGGGUGAGUAACACGUGGAUAACCUACCUAUAAGACUGGGAUAACUUCGGGAAACCGGAGCUAAUACCGGAUAAUAUAUUGAACCGCAUGGUUCAAUAGUGAAAGACGGUUUUGCUGUCACUUAUAGAUGGAUCCGCGCCGCAUUAGCUAGUUGGUAAGGUAACGGCUUACCAAGGCAACGAUGCGUAGCCGACCUCAGAGGGUGGUCGGCCACCCUGGAACUGAGACACGGUCCAGACUCCUACGGGAGGCAGCAGUAGGGAAUCUUCCGCGAUGGGCGAAAGCCUGACGGAGCAACGCCGCGUGAGUGAUGAAGGUCUUCGGAUCGUAAAACUCUGUUAUUAGGGAAGAACAAAUGUGUAAGUAACUAUGCACGUCUUGACGGUACCUAAUCAGAAAGCCACGGCUAACUACGUG
rnacentral:rRNA from 1 species